CCCUUAGAUGUUCUGGGCUGCACGCGCGCUACACUGAUGCGAUCAACAAGUUUUUCCUAUGUCGAUAGACACGGGUAAUCUUUUGAACUCGCAUCGUGAUGGGGAUAGAUUAUUGUAAUUAUUAAUCUUCAACGAGGAAUUCCUAGUAGGUGCAAAUCAUCAGUUUGCAUCGAUUAUGUCCCUGCCCUUUGUACACACCGCCCGUCGCUGCUACCGAUUGGUUGAUCUGGUGAAUUAUUCGGACUGCCGGCUGAAGGGGUUUCCUCAUCUGCCAGCGGAAAGUCUUGUUAACCCUAUCAACUAGAGGAAGCAGAAGUCGUAACA
rnacentral:rRNA from 1 species